UACGUAGGGGGCAAGCGUUUGUCCGGAUUUAUUGGGCGUAAAGAGCGUGUAGGCGGCCAAGCAGGUCCGCUGUGAAAACUCGAGGCUCAACCUCGAGACGUCGGUGGAAACCGUUUGGCUAGAGUCCGGAAGAGGAGAGUGGAAUUCCCGGUGUAGCGGUGAAAUGCGCAGAUAUCGGGAAGAACACCCGUGGCGAAGGCGGCUCUCUGGGACGGUACUGACGCUGAGACGGCGAAAAGCGUGGGGGAGCAAACAGGG
rnacentral:rRNA from 1 species